CCUUAAGGGCAAAGCAGUUGAAAAGCUGUGACGCAAAACUAAAGGGCCUUGGAACGAAUGUGGAGUGUUCUGUGGCAGCCAGUUGCCG
rnacentral:ncRNA from 1 species